AGGGAUCAUUACCGAGUUUACAACUCCCAAACCCCUGUGAACAUACCUAUACGUUGCCUCGGCGGAUCAGCCCGCGCCCUGUAAAAAGGGACGGCCCGCCCGAGGACCCUAAACUCUGUUUUUAGUGGAACUUCUGAGUAAAACAAACAAAUAAAUCAAAACUUUCAACAACGGAUCUCUUGGUUCUGGCAUCGAUGAAGAACGCAGCAAAAUGCGAUAAGUAAUGUGAAUUGCAGAAUUCAGUGAAUCAUCGAAUCUUUGAACGCACAUUGCGCCCGCCAGUAUUCUGGCGGGCAUGCCUGUUCGAGCGUCAUUUCAACCCUCAAGCUCAGCUUGGUGUUGGGACUCGCGGUAACCCGCGUUCCCCAAAUCGAUUGGCGGUCACGUCGAGCUUCCAUAGCGUAGUAAUCAUACACCUCGUUACUGGUAAUCGUCGCGGCCACGCCGUAAAACCCCAACUUCUGAAUGUUGACCUCGGAUCAGGUAGGAAUACCCGCUGAACUUAAGCAUAUCAAUAAGCGGAGGAAAAGAAACCAACAGGGAUUGCCCUAGUAACGGCGAGUGAAGCGGCAACAGCUCAAAUUUGAAAUCUGGCUCUCGGGCCCGAGUUGUAAUUUGUAGAGGAUGCUUUUGAUGCGGUGCCUUCCGAGUUCCCUGGAACGGGACGCCAUAGGGGGUGAGAGCCCCGUCUGGUUGGAUGUCAAAUCUCUGUAAAGCUCCUUCGACGAGUCGAGUAGUUUGGGAAUGCUGCUCUAAAUGGGAGGUAUAUGUCUUCUAAAGCUAAAUACCGGCCAGAGACCGAUAGCGCACAAGUAGAGUGAUCGAAAGAUGAAAAGCACUUUGAAAAGAGAGUUAAAAAGUACGUGAAAUUGUUGAAAGGGAAGCGUUUAUGACCAGACUUGGGCUUGGUUAAUCAUCUGGGGUUCUCCCCAGUGCACUUUUCCAGUCCAGGCCAGCAUCAGUUUUCGCCGGGGGAUAAAGGCUUCGGGAAUGUGGCUCUCUCCGGGGAGUGUUAUAGCCCGUUGCGUAAUACCCUGGCGGGGACUGAGGUUCGCGCAUCUGCAAGGAUGCGGCGUGAUGGUCAUCAACGACC
rnacentral:rRNA from 1 species